GCGAGCGCGGGGUCCCGGGGCCCCCAGCAAGGAAGAACUGAGGAAAAAGGGGGGAAAAACACUCUCGAGUGCCUUCGCGAGCCUUGGCCGGCGUGUCCAGGCGCCCCGAGGACCCAGCCGAGGACGCAGGCGUCGCGGGCUGAAGAGAAGCUGGGAGCCUCCCCGGGGCGCCUUCUGGGCUUCCGGCGCGGCGCGAGGCCUCGCUCAGCGGCCACCGCCGCCCCUGUGGGGAGGGACCCCCGCCCCCCAAGUGAGGACAGUGAGGAGGAGCUCCAGGAGGAACUCGAACCCAAGGCUGCCGUCGAGAGACCCCUCCUCCCCCGCGGGCCUCGUGGGCUUCCCGGUGCGGGCCGCCGCGCCCGCGUCACCCGAAGGCGGGAAGGAGACGCACGACGGUCGCCCCCGUGCACGUCCACCCCCCCCCCCCCCCGCGGUCCCCACUCCCACCCGCCGCCUGCGGAAGACUUUUCAGGUCCGCGGGCACCGGAAACGCGCGCCGGAUGCCGACUGCGCGGAGGGGGCGCCCGCACACCCUCGCGCGCGCGCGGCCCCCACCGGGGGGCCCGGCGCGGGGGCCGGAGUCACGAGGCCGCCCGCAGAGACGUCGCGUGCGGGCCUGGCGACAGCCCAGCAGGUGGUGUGACUUUACUCAGCGAGGCCUGGGCUCCUUGGCUUCGUCGGAGCGCGGUCACGGAGAUGGCACCGCGUAGUAUACCGGGGCCCCACCCUUGCGAGCCGGCUGCCCGUAUAUCCACUUUCCCAAUUUGAUGCCGCUGUCCGCUCGUUCUUGGAGAGCACAGCUUUGGACAGAAACCCCAAAAGGCAGGAGCAAAUUUGUUUGAAAAUCUUGGCUGUGGCGUGCAAACAAGUUCAGAGGGAUUUUUGAGGCACAGCUACAGACUGAGCUGGUUUACUGCACAUUAUAAAUGGAAACUUUUUUUUUUCCUCCGUGUUUUUAAGAAAUCCUGUUGCAAGGUCAUUAAUCACAUUAUCCAUUAUACCAGAAACAAAUGGAUUUGUCACUUGUGCACAGAAGCUGAGGUUGAUGCUGAAAACAAAUUGUAUCAAAAUAAAUGAAAUUAUUAUGAUAAUAUAAAACAGACCGCAGUGAUUAAUCUCCAGAAACCAAAUUUUGACCUGCUUUGCACUUCAAACAAUAGCUUCUGUUAUGUAAAUAGUCGUGGGGUUUUCAAGGACAAUGUUACUAAAUUACGAGGAAAGUUCUAUUCGUGGAAAUCUCUUCAUGGAUAAACAUUAGAGCCAGCAAAUCUGUUCUCCACAACACCCAAAGCAGAGGACAAUGGAAGUGAUGAUGGCUCAGGAAUCACUUUGACUUCCUGACUGCUUAGUUGGCUUUCUUUGAGAUUCCCUCCAGAUCUCUGGCCUUCCCGCUCACGCCCCGGGUUCCUGCAUCCAGAAUGGCACCAAGCUCUUCUGUAAAGCUUUGGAACCACCUUAAUAUUUCACACAGAAAGAAAGAAUUUAAAAAGGAAGAAAACAAGGAAGGAAGGAAGAAAAUCCGCAAGGAUGGGGGAGGAAUUUCAAAACUGAACACAAACAAAAACAAACUGAACCAUAAUUCAAAUGAAUAACGUGACCACACUGAAAUGGAGGAAAAAGAACUAACCCAAUUAACAUUUGAACACAGUAUUUGGACUCAAU